GUAUCGCUCUUACUGCUCUAAAUUUAUAUACUUAAAUACUAGAAACAAGAACUUGAAAUAUACGAUGAAAAAUCUCCAUGUAAGCUGUCAUAUCCAUUACAUUGCUUUACAACCAGGUAGCACAGGUAUGUAGAUAGUACGGCUGAAGCACCUUUGCCGGAUAAAACGCAUGUUAAUUUUUGUGGAAAUGCGAGAAACACACGCAGCACACAAGGAUGCCAGGUGCAGCCACCACGUGGAAAUGCAACUGCGGAGGAGACUAGGCCCAGCGGAGUGAAACCAGAGGGUUGAUGGCAUCGGGAUGAAAUGUUGGACCAAACGAGAGCCACAAAUUGCGGCAGAAUGCAUUUUUCAAAAGACAAAACCGGAGAGGAGGAUGCAAUCUCAAGUGGUUAUCUCCGAGGCCCUCUGGACCUGUGGGACAUGGGGACCAAAGUCAACAUCAAAGUUCACGCCGACAAAGCGUCGAGAGUAAAUGUUUAAUGAGCGAGGCGCGCGGGGAGCGUAGUUUGCUAAAAAGGAGUAAAGGAUCACGACUCCUUCAAGCCCGGGCGCAAGCCAAUUAAAACAAAGGCCAAAAAACAAAUGCACUUCAAGGGGGGAAAGCUGGGGGGUAAGCGCGUUUGACAGUGUCAAAGGACCCGAGGAGCGAGCCUACCACGUGAAGUGUUUGGCAACAUUGUUGGACCUGCCAGGACCUUCCACGAACUCCCAGGACCUCCCAUUCCCACACCCCCCUUUUCCAUUCCCAGCACGUACUCUAAGCAACAGUUCUUCUUUGAAGUCAAAAGGAUUUUUUCCCAGGCUGCAGCAAAAAUCGCAGGCACAGUAAAUUAGCUACACUUCACUCGACUGUUUGGCCCCCGGGAAAGGAAAGGGGCUCAGGAAUUUCCACGGGAGAGUGGGGAAAAUUCCAUGCUGCAGCUGCUGCCUUCCGAAGUAUGGAUGACAUGCUAAUCAAGGUGGCAAAUUAAUCGGGAAGAAGAAAACUUGAUCGAUGGAUUGAAGUGGGCCAAGGGAAAUGGUCUCUAAUUGAAGCUGAAAAGUUAACUAAGUAUCAACAUUUCUGCACUUCAAAUAAAAAGAGUAACAAAUAUGACGAACAGAGGUGAUUGCUGAGCGCCAAUAAAAGUGGGAUUACAAUCAAUUGCCCGUCGUCCCUGACUUCGCCACUUAGCCUGCGAUCCCGCCCGCGUCAACCCCCUGGACCACAUCAAAAGCCACCCCCGGGUGGAUUCCCUUGGAUUCCCUUGGAAUGCUGUGGCUAUAUCCUCGUUCUUCGGAUUUGACCAGCCUGCGGGCUCGGGCUCGUCGGUCGGUGUCUAAUCAAAAAUGCAAUGUUUGGCUUGGUUAAGCGGAAAUCGGUAGAUUGCGUUCGCACAGUUUUCGCUUGUUGAUAUUAACACAUUCCUCCCACUCCGUUCGCAUCCUAUGCCAUCAACACCCCCACGGGCGGAGGUGGGUUAAUGAAACGUCACAGAUGAUGACGACGUUGGCAUAAGAUUUCAAUGAUAUGUCAAAACUGAGUGAUGCUGAUGAUGGAUGGGUGGUCAUAACACAGUAUCCUUCGUCCUA
ensembl:ncRNA lncRNA:CR46216 long non-coding RNA:CR46216